CUUGGUCAUUUAGAGGAGUAAAAGUCGUAACAAGGUUUCCGUAGGUGAACCUGCGGAAGGAUCAUUAUCGAAAUUAUUGGUGAGGGUUGUAGCUGGCCUUUCGAGGCAUGUGCACGCUCGAGCCCUUAAUCCACUUUACACCUGUGCACUUAAUGUAGGUCGCCCUUAAAAAAGGUUACCUAUGUCUUAUCAUCAACCCAUCGUAUGUCUCAUAGAAUGUAAUCGAUAUCCUCGCCCUGAAAAGGCGUUGAUAAACUUAUACAACUUUCAACAACGGAUCUCUUGGCUCUCGCAUCGAUGAAGAACGCAGCGAAAUGCGACAAGUAAUGUGAAUUGCAGAUUUUCAGUGAAUCAUCGAAUCUUUGAACGCACCUUGCGCUCCUUGGUAUUCCGAGGAGCAUGCCUGUUUGAGUGUCAUUAAAUUCUCAACUCCAAGGGUUUCACGACCUUUCGGAGAUUGGACUUGGAGGUGCUGGCCGCAUAUUGGUCGGCUCCUCUCAAAUGCAUCAGCGGAAUUCAACCUUUGGCUUCCGGAUGUCAGUGUGAUAAUCAUGUUGCGCUGUCGUUUGAUCCCUCAGAGUCCGCUUAUAAUGGUCUUCGGACAAAAUCAUCAUCAAAUUUGACCUCAAAUCAGGUAGGACUACCCGCUGAACUUAAGCAUAUCAAUAAGCGGAGGA
rnacentral:rRNA from 1 species